AGGCACGCCUCAUCCCUCUCGUCUCGUCUCCCCUCUCUAUAUCGCACUCAACCUCUCCCCUCCCGCAAAAUUUACUCGAUCCGGCGAUGCGCCCGCGCCACUGCCGGCGUGCUCCUUUUUGGUCCUCCCCUUCCACCGGAUCGGCCGAUGAGCGGAUUUGCUAGAGGCGGUCGACCAGUGGAGGUGAGGAGGUUAUCCCCGAUGCCCACAUUCCCGAUGCUCGUCUUUUCCUCUCCCAAGUGGCUGCUAGGGUUGCCCCCGCCAUCGCCGCCCCCAUCCCACCUCCUCCGGCGCUGCCCAUCUCCCUUGAGUAGUGCGGUCUGGCGCUCAGCUACGAGGGCAAGGAUCCCCAGCCGCACCAUCCACGUCCUUGCCGUUGUGAUCGCCGCGUCGGGAAGGCAGCACGAACACGCGAUUAGAGGAUCCAGGAGGUUGGUACAUGAGGACGUGGGAAACCAAUGAGGAAGAUGACUGGCGAGAAGGCUGGUUGUGUUUUUUUUCUAGAAGUAAGGCUGGUUGUGGUCAUGGUGCAUUCUAGAGGAAGAGGAUGAAGCUGUAUAAAAGACUGCCGAAUUCUUCCUGUUCUAGCAGGUAAAAACUGAACCUGUAUGUUUUGAAAUUUGGGACACAUUUUAAAAACUGGACCUUUACUGUUUGUUCAAAGGAAAUUUACUCUUGCAGAUAUAUACUCUCAUGAUUCGUUGAUAAUAUGUACUGCAGAUUCAUCAUGUACUAAAAAAAAAAUCCUUUGUGAUGCAUCAUAUGAUUUAGUUAUCUUUUACACCUCCUCUUUGGACUUGUUCAUUGUCAACAGCUUUACACAUGGAUCUCAUAUAUCUCAUUUGUAAGGUAAUAGUUCAAAGGUUAAAUGUCUAUGUUUUUUAGCCUGUCUAUCUAAUGGGCACUUAAACUGUAGUUUUUUUUAAUCCUGAUUCGGUUGAGAUACUUUAAAAAUUGAGUGUUAUUCACCUGCCGAUGUGUGAUUCAAUGUAGGGGUAAAGCAACAACGGAGAAAUUUUGAAUUUCACAUAUUGAUCAGUUUAUUUCAAGAGCGCAGGUCAUUUUUCUGUAUGCUGGAUGAAUAGCUCCCUUCUUCAGUAUGUACUUCUAUUGGAAGGACCGAAGAGAAAAUUCAGUGUUUAUACUACUCCGUUUCCAGAAUAGUUAUGCUCUUUCUGCGAAAUCAAACGAGUCAGUGAUACAAAAAUAGUGUUGUUUUUUCUCCUUUUGUUAAUGAUUUGUUCUAACUAUAACGUUAGCAUGAAUUGUAAUGGUGAAAUUAUCCCUACUGCAGAAUAAGUUGGCAUGAAGCAAUCUGUUCCCAAAAUAAUGUAUACAUGUAUUAAUGCCAAUCUCAUGUUUUCCUUCUUUUGCUGAGCUCUAUAUGAACAGUUCUCUAUGUGUAAGUGGUCCAUAUGGAUUUUUAGUAUAUCAUGCUAUGUACAAGUAGUUCUAUAUAUUCAGGUUAGGUAUGAUGGAUAGUGUCAGAUUACUGGGCAUUUAUGUAUAAUUAAAAUUAUAUUAUGAUGCAUUUAUGUAUCCUUAAAGUUCUAUUAUGUUGUUGUGUUAUAUACGAAAAUUGCUGCGUCGAGUUCAGGUAUGGCUCUUUGUGCUACAUCCUCUCUUCUACCUCUGCCUCUGUCAAGCACCACAGAUCCAAUAAGUUGACCUCCUCCCUCUAUUCUUUUAACGUUCUCUAUUUCGACAUAACCAAAUCUUUAAUAGUAAACUGAACUAUGGUCAUUUGGUGUAUCUUGUUUAUAUUAUGACCAAGUGCUGAAAUAGAAAGUGAUGAAAUUGAAGGCCUUUGUCUUUGUUCCAUGGCUCUCAAGUCUGCCACUCCAUCUACUAUGGGAUCACACCAAUUGCUAGAUCUAAUAUGUCAUCUGCUCCUGUACUAAUUAGUAUCUCACGGGCCUUCAGGUUCUGAUGCAAUUUAGAAAAUCCCUCUUUAAGCAAAAGUCUGGUUGACAAUAUAAAACUGUAGCUCUGAAUUUAGUAAUCACUUACCCUCACAAGCAUGUUGAUAAAUUAGCAAGAUGACUAGCUACCUAGCAUAUAUUACUUUUCCUUUUUUUAGAAACUCUAAGUUGUUGGUUCUAAUGUCUUACUGAUUAGAAGCAAUAAUAAAGAUUACCUAUGGUGACAUGACUUGAUAUUCUGAUUGACUUGUUGCCUUCUCUUACAAGUAAACAUGUGUAGCUACUUCGUUCCCUAAUUUUACUGAUGCAUUUUAUUCUGGUAUGUAUCUCAUUUUCGAAGUGGUACAUGUGUUGUAUUAGAAAACACUCUAUAUUGAUUACCUUUUUCCCUUUCUACUCCUUAACCUCAGUUCUCCCUGGUAUCUCUUUUGAGCUCUGACGUAGCAACAAGACAAUCUAGCUAGGUUACUCUGCACAUACCUUCCCUGUGAUGUCACAUUUGCUGUACCCUUGGCUCUUGUUCUUAUUUUGUAGGUAGUCACAUUGCUGUCAUAUUUGUCCUAUAUGAAAACGAAUGCGAUAUAGGACAACCUUGGACGUGGGGAAAAGGGGAGGCAAAGGGCAGUAAAAUCUCAACCAAGGGCGAUGUCCGCAGCUAUGGCAUUGUUCUUCUGGAAAUGCCAGAAAUGACCUACCCAUGAAUAAUUCGAUGAUGGAUUUAUGCUUCGCAAGUAUGUAGAGGCAUCUCUUUCAUGGACUGAAGACAUUCUUCACCUCAACCUUAUUUCAGAAAUAUGAGAUCAACAGGUCGAUCUUAUCCUCAAACUUGCAAGAAUACAAGAAAUUUAUGCUGAAUGAUAUAUGUGCUCUUGGACUCUUUAAAUUUGGCAUUUCAUGCUUUUGUAGAAUCACCAAAAGAAAUACACAUGUAUGAAACUGCUAUGCUUGCCCUGCUUUAUCAAUGCACAAUCUUGCUGUUGUAGUU
rnacentral:rRNA from 1 species